AAUUUGGGUCAAUGGUCGCAAGCCUGAUCCAGUCAUGCCGCGUGAGUGCAUUAGGCCUUCUGUUUGUAAAGCUCUUUCGGACGGAAAGAAAUCGCGCAGGCUAAUACCCUGCGCGGCUGACGGUACCGUCAUUAGAAGUACCGGCUAACUACGUGCCAGCAGCCGCGGUAAUACGUAGGGUGCGAGCGUUAAUCGGAAUUCCUGGGCGUAAAGCGUGCGCAGGCGGUUGAUUAAGACAGGCGUGAAAUCCCCGGGCUUAACCUGGGAACUGCGCUUGUGACUGGUCAGCUAGAGUACGGCAGAGGGGGGUGGAAUUCCACGUGUAGCAGUGAAGUGCGUAGAGAUGUGGAGGAACACCGAUGGCGAAGGCAGCCCCCUGGGCCGAUACUGACGCUCAUGCACGAAAGCGUGGGUAGCAAACAGG
rnacentral:rRNA from 1 species